rnacentral:rRNA from 1 species
UUCGGCGGUCAUAGCGUCGGGGGUACACCUCUUCCCAUUCCGAACAGAGCAGUUAAGCCCGACAGCGCCGAUGGUACUCGGGGCGCAAGCCCCCGGGAGAGUAGGACGCCGCCGAAU